UCACUUCUUCGUACACCUGCUGACAGUUUCUUAAAUGGAUCAGUGGUUUCCUUACUAUUCUACAGAACUGAUGACAGUUUGCAAGGGGGUAUGAAAAAUACCCCGGCCUUGAAGUUGUUUACACCAAUAUCCACAGAUGAUAAAUUGGGCUGUCAUUCUGAUCUUACCAUAGAGGGCAAAAAGGGGAUUUAGUGGUGGCGUUGAUCACAGCCAUACAAGAUGCAAACGGAUCAUACAUCCAUUACCAGAUUCCUGCCUUUGCCACCAUCUGUUCUUCUCCAUCUCUGCUGAGGGUUUGCAACUAAUGAGUCAUCUGGAUCAUUUUUGCAAAGCAACUUCAGUAUGGCCGAACUGGAUUCUUGGUCCUAUGGUCAGAGAGAGUAAGGCUGGUGAAGUCUGGCCAUGUGAUUAGCCAGUGUCCUGCUGAUCAAGAACCACUGCUUUGGUUUGGGGACAACUAUCCUAGAGGAGAGAAGACAUGAAUGGAAUGAGAAUAGCAUUUUUAAGGACAAAAAGGCCACCUGACAUGAAGGGAGAGACUCAUGGAGGAUUCAAAAUUGAGGUUUGAUGAAGACUAUUUUCAUUGGAUCAGAAUUGUACUUAAAAAUUGUUUUAUCAAAGUUGGAAUUUUUUAUUGAGAAUCAGAAAUACUUUGUUAAUAGCCCCAGUGGCAAAUGGAAGCGUAUAUAUUUUUAUGACUCUUUUUUUGUAUGAAAGUUCAGAAAUGAACUUUAAUUCAGAAGUUACUCUGAGGUACAAGGCUGACAGAGGAAAGAAGUGAAGUUGAUGAAAACUGGCUAUCCGAUCUGUGGGCAGAUGUGUGGACGAACAAGGGAAAGCAUUGAUCUAGUUGCUAAGUUAUUUUCAGGAUUAUUGUGUUGUGCUGUCUGUGGUGACUCUGCCUUGAGAAAGACUGCAACAGAGUACUGACUAUUUAAGUGUUUAAGUAGUUACUUGAGAUUGGCAGAAUGAACUUGCAGAAUGAACUUCCAGGGGUGUGUAUGAGGAUGGUGGGAGAGGGGUAGGAAGAAGCUGAGAAAUUUGGGAGGAAACAAGGGUUAAAUAUCACUGUGUAGAAAUAAAGAAACAGAUGUA